GGCGGCGUAGCCAAGAGGUUAAGGCGACGGUCUGCAAAACCGUUAUUCAGCGGUUCGAAUCCGCUCGCCGCCU
rnacentral:tRNA from 2 species